GCUAUCUGUACUUGCUUGGUGGUAUACGGCUGGGAUUAAAUUUAUAUUUAGCUCAGACUAAGUGCAGGUACUACGCGUAAUAGGCUGGUUUCUCCUAACAUCAUAUAGAAGUCUCGCAGGCUUAGAUGCCUGAAGUCUGUUGAACAAUGUUUUAUUUUAUUUGCGAUCCGCCUGUGGAUCUUUUACUUUCCGUAUUGUAAUACUUGGAUAUUACUUCAUACCGGAUUGUAAUAUAUUUUUGCU